ACCAAGAAAAAUCCUGCGAGCGUCUACCCGCCUUAAAUUACUCAUGCUUAAAGACCAGGCCUUACGGAAGAAGUUGUCAGAACUCGGGAUAACCAGCUUUGGACCUCGACAAUUAUUAGAAAGGCGCCACCGGGAGUGGUCAGCCCUGUGGAAUGCCAACUGUGAUGCCGUCCAGCCAAAGAGGCGUUCUGAGCUUCUCAACGAUCUAAGUGUCUGGGAAAGGGCACAGGGAGGACGCGCCUCGAUGCCCAGCAAAUCCCAACAGGCCUGGCCGUUAAGGAUAAGGACUUCGACACGGCUGCUUGGACUUCGAAACAUAACUCGUCGUUCAAGGAAUUGAUUGCAUCAGCACAGAAAAGCAGAUUGGAAGCGGCUAGCAAAGCUAAGGAACCUCAAUCUGCUUCUCGGAGCCGCUAAUUGCGGCCCCCGGUUCUACUGAUGCAUGACUUUUAUCUGAGUUUGCCUUCGCCGUCAAAGCACGACAUUAAACAGAGUUGUUCAAACUAUACCACGAGACACAAGCGCAUCAAAACUUGAAAAGUGCUCAACAAGUCUGUUGAUGAUUGCAAGCUUCCGGUAACUCAGACCUGUCCAUAUAAAUAUACCGUGUAUAUCGCGGCGGACACAGUGGCACCCAGUCACGCUACAUCUUGUGAUCAUACCAACGCAUCAGCUAGUCGAAGCCCAUCAAAGUCACCGCCGAGCCUAAUCAGCCUCUUCACCACUAUUUCGCUUCUACUCAUGCAUCCUCGAGCUCCUUCGCCUCUUUCUCUCCCUGAGAAAAAGUUCUAUCUCAGCGGUAAGUGUAGCCCAACUCACAUUAUAGGUAUGGAAGCCCGUCGUAACACGGAAGUCAUCUUCUCAGUCCGACGGCACGUAUCAAAACUUGAACAGACGUUCCCGCUAAUGCCUAGCAUUCGGCAGGCAGUAAAAACCGACAUGAUGGCUUUUCUGGGUUGGAAAUUGGAGACGUGCAGGCUUUUCAUUGAUCUUGAUUAAGCUAAAAGAUUAAGCUGAAACGGAAGUCAAUCAGCCGUUCCUAGGGAUCAACAAAGUUGCAUGCCUCUAGAAGGCCAAUUAUCGUCUCCCGCAUUGUAUAGUUGAACGAUAACCCGGUAAAACAAUUGGACUUGGAUGAGUGCCGACCAAGGACGAGAUCUUGGUUGGGAAAUGUGGUGCAUUCGCUGGAGCUAGAAAUACAAAAUCAUCGCAAAAGCGGCUUUUUAUUACGGACGUAAUCUCUGAGAGAUUUUUUUAAGUGAGUUUUGCCCUUUUGCGCCACAGUGAGUGCACCACCUCUUCUGGUGACCCACACAUAGUGCCGAUGCAAUUUGGUGGCCGGAUUUGCCGUUACUCGAAAAGUUGCUGAAGUUGCUCAAAAGUCCUGUUAAAGUUGGUCUCUUUCUCGGCCGUCCCUGCUGUAGCAGUGGACGGAUGAGGCUUCGGUGAAGUACACGACCGAAAGCGCCAUUUAUAUGUAACGUCAUGAUGCCAGCUACUUGGCUGUCAGCUCUUGCCUCUUCCACAUACACUAGCGCAAUGGUCAGGUUGAUGAACUUAGCGCUUGCUCGAUGAAGGCUCAACUUGGCUAUCCCAUAUGGCCUUGACGAAUUUCGACUUAGGACGAACUACCUGAAGAUUUUUUUGCCUGUCAGUGAACAAGGUCCUGCGACAUGUCAUGAUGAACGAUUCUAAAGACAUGCUGUAGGCUAGGCCGUGUCGCCACUUUGCGGAUAGUCAAACAAUGGUCAUUAUGACGCGUACGUUUGAAUGUAUUUCGAAGGAUCCGUUGACAAGUGUGUGAGGGAUAUCAAAACGCAAAAUAAUCGUGGAAGGUUAAAGGGCAAAGUCGUCGGUUCCGUGAAGUCAGUGACUUCACGGAACCGACACUUGGCCUGUCACUUCAAGUCACAGGCGCGGCAAAGUUGUGCCUUCGUCGACAUGUUAAAGCGGACCAUGAUGGCGCGAAAGGUGUUCGCUAUGCAAAAGGGGGAAAAGACGGAGGUCUUGUUCUUUGCAACCCGGUUUUCGUGCCCUCACUCCUGCCCCCGCAACUUUGGUUGACCUUUCUUCUCAAUCGGACUCUUUUGGCCCAGUCUACUCAACACUUGGUCGUCGCGUGCCUCACCAAUUAUGCACUACGCCCCUCCGCCUUACCCUGAGGGCGACUGAUGAUCAAAGGCGAUCGACUGUCCCCGGUUCAGUGCCACACGCCUUGUUCACUCUCUUCCCGCGAUAAGAAGGGAACCUGACGGCCCGAAAAGCACCUCGAUCUCCGCACUUUUUAGAACGAUUCGUUGACUGAUCAGACGCCGCUUUCCCUCAAAAGAUCGGGAGUGACCGCGCGCGGUGGAUAGCAAAAACCAAUUCAGCCUAAAAAGAAGGUCCACACAAACCAGAAGAUUCUCCCCAAGCACGGGAUCCCUGUUUCGCUCGCUUGAAAGGCCGAAAGCCCCGACACUACUGGGCUUUCGGACUCUUGGACUUUCGGAGACUUGUCUUCCCGUCCCGCAUUGAGCAUGCCAGAGCAUCAAGAUGCGAUGACUACGUACACAUUCUGUUGCUUCUACUCACUUCAAAGCCUCGGAAAUUGAAUUGGGUUUCCGGGGAACAGGGUCCGCGACGCUAGUAGCCAAGUCCUGGACUCGCAACAACGAACUAGCAUGACCCCCUAACUCAGCUGUGAGCAUAUCAUGACGCAGCAACACUUCACAUAAAGAUUCCAUCGACUUUCACAGUUGAUUUUCGGAUAUUAUCUUCCUUGCCGCACCUGGAGACUCUUGUCCGUGAUGCUGCGUGUUGGACGCGCUAUACCGUUUAGGACUUGAAUAGAGCCUCAAUAGACUACCAACUGCCACAAAGAUCAGACGAGCAGGGCAAUGUGUUCAAGGUCAAAGCGUCGCAUGCGAUGACCUUCCUUUUCUUGGAUUGGAUGGACUUGGACGAUCCCCUCCAUCGGCUCAAGGUUUAGGCCAGGGCCCAAAAAUGCGAAUCACUCAACGCUUGCCUUUGACCUCACCAGCCCAGCCCACCCCUGGUACAGCCUUGCGGCUUUCAUCUUCACCUUGCCGAAAACGGGGCCUGAAGUCGCCGUGUUCGGAUACAACAAGCCUGUUCGAAAGAUGUCUAUUCACAGCUUCAUGUGGGGCAAUAGAGAAAGCUGAGGUGGCUUGAGUUUAUUGACACGAUGCUGCUCACAUUUUCAACUGCUAUACUUAUGGCUCGUCGAUACCCAUGAUUCAAGCCACCCUAGGCUUCCAAAUCAGGCAGCUUAUCCACACCUGAUCUGUCAAAGAGGAGCCCGGUGAUGAGACAAAGCUCGCAAUGAGCUUGGCCACUCUGAGUUCUCACCGGCGAGUCUCCGUCCGAGAAGAGAGCUUAUUGACAGCCCUUCAAUAAACAGCUCAUAUACCACACGCUGUUAUUUUGACCAAAGCUUCCGUGCGGAAAAGUGCAAAAGCACAGUGCUACGACGUAAGGCAACGACCGGCCGUUCUCGCCAGCAUCGUGGUUCGCACCUCUCGACAAAGUUUGAUCAUAUCUGUUGCCGAAAUCAAUAGCCCUGUCAGGCUCUCCGAAACUCACGCAUUUUUUCAUCGCUGCCUUGAUACCGAGUUUUAGCAACAUUUAACAUACAUCUGACAACAUACAGCAAGUCAGACAUCUUCAGAUCUACCCUUCACACAACUACAAACAUGAAGCCUUCCAUCAUCACGGCAUUAUCUGCGAUGAGAGUCCUUGUUGCUCCCCGCCCCAAUAUCAGCCCUACGUGCCUUUCUCAAGAUCUGGCAUGUUGAAAGAUCAAAAAUGCCGUCGAGGUCUUUUCGGAAAUCAUGCAGUCGCCGUCGAAGAACCUGACAACUGGGCUCAAAUCUGGCGGCCCUGCUGGCGGGGCCGCUUAUGUCGCCAAGCGAGCCAUCAAGGAGCUCGCUCAGGUCAUGGCAUUGACUUUGCACGACCCGGAAAAUUUCAUCAACAGGUUUAGCUUUCCUAAAAGUACCAACAAUAAGGGCGAGGAGAGCAACUUGGAGAGAAGCGGUCGUCUUGGUGCUUCCGCAGGUGGCGAUUCUGCCGCAAGCGCGACCUAACAAGCUUGCCACGCCAACCUCGGACUGGGAAUCGUGCCGAGCAGAGGGAGCGCCAUGCUGGCUGGCUAGACGCGUCGCCAGUUCUGUGCUCAACGAAAUUGAAUCGGUCUGUGAAAAGAAGAGGUCUCUACUAAUACAUCUGUUCAGGAGACAUAAGAGUGCCACCGUCCGGGGCAGCCGUGCUGAGCAAGCAAGCGAAACCUUUUUGGCCUUCCAGAAUGUUGCCAAAAGAUAUGGCUUUGGAGUUUGAUUAGAGUCGAGGCCAAACCUCUGGCUCUUCGAAAUCCACAGUUCUUUUUUACUUGGAUACAAUAUGGGGUGUCCCGAGUUAUCAAGCUUGCUGCCUCGGCGAUUCAGCACCCGACCCUCCCUUGUGUUCUCCUUGGCACCAGCCUCAGCCGCCCCGGUGCUUCAGAGAAUUUGCUUUGCUCGGCAAUCAGUUUAUUCUUUGUACAUUGCUUUUCGUCAGAUUUUGUCACGAUUGCCCCUCGUUUAAGCCUCCGUGCUCAUCAUGUCUCCAAAAAAACGGUUACAAGUAUCAAUGUUUUCAUAAAUAUUUUUUAUGCGGGUAGAUUCAAUCUCGCGAAAUUUAGCCAUACCAAUCAAGGUGACCGGCGUCAUACAUGAUUACCACCAUGCUCUUUCCUUCCUAUGAUGCGGGCGACGUAGCGACGAGAUCUUCUCGCGACCUUGCAGAUAAGUAGGUUUGAGGGUAAAGAUCGAUACCGGGUGGCAGUUAUCGUCCUGAUUAGCUCGAAUUUCGGACCACUGAUGCUUCAGAGGAGUUGAAAUCUCCGAAAGUUCAAAGGCUUCUCAUUGGUGACCAGAGGAACUCGUUUAUCUUCGAAUGAAAUCCUUCCGUGAUAGUCGUACAGUAGCCUGUGAGCUUGCUGAUCAAGCCCUUCCGAAGUCUGGGCCAAGGGACAGUGAAGACGGUAGUGCCGCUGUAUAUCUACAACAGAUGGUAGGAUGAGAAAGGAAAAGAAGGACAUGUACGCCUAAUCAUUGCGAUCCUCCCCACGGCGGUGCGCAUGAAAGGACACCUGAGAAGCACCGCACCCAAGAUUGUGCGUUGAGUUUAUAUUCUCCGUCACCUGUUCUCUCGCGCAGAUCGUCGUGGGCACUAUCCUAAAAAUAGGAUGCACCUCGGAUGGCAGUACAGAGGCGAACGUGGACGUUAGAUUUGCGUUGUUCAAUUUUGAAUGAAAGGCAAA
rnacentral:lncRNA from 1 species